CAGCAGCAGCCGCGGGAAUACGAAGGGUGCAAGCGUUACUCGGAAUUACUGGGCGUAAAGCGUGCGUAGGUGGUGGUUUAAGUCCGUUGUGAAAGCCCUGGGCUCAACCUGGGAAUUGCAGUGGAUACUGGGUCACUAGAGUGUGGUAGAGGAUAGUGGAAUUUCCGGUGUAGCAGUGAAAUGCGUAGAGAUCGGAAGGAACAUCUGUGGCGAAGGCGACUAUCUGGGCCAACACUGACACUGAGGCACGAAAGCGUGGGGAGCAAACAGGAUUAGAUACCCCCGUAGUCCCUGUCUCUUAUAA
rnacentral:rRNA from 1 species